rnacentral:lncRNA from 1 species
UUAAGCUGUCCUUUUAAUAAUAGAAAACAGUUGUCCUCAAAAUGGGAUAAUUUUAAAUAUAAAAAAAAAAACACACCACAGGGAACUGAAAAGAAAAAACAAAUUUAAUGAUGUAUUCAAGGCCAUCCAAACCACCCACCCACAUAUUAAGUGUUUGCUGGCUACACAGACACUAUAGUUGCCAUGGUUAAACCAAAGAUCUUCUUCGGAAAAGUAAACCCCUUGGUUGAAAAAAAAUAAAGCAAAAUAAAAUAUUGCAUGCGGUGAAUAAUCAAACUGUUAGGGCAACAUCCUGCUCCCUCUGAAAUCAGCAGGCUCUUUUCUGCAGGAUUGGUGCUAAAUUUUCAGCUGCCUGAUGGACCAAAAAAUAGGGGGGCUGCAGCACGGAGAUGGGAGCUGCCUGGUGGAGGAGAGAGGAGACUGAAGCUGGGGGUGGCAGGGUGACUGCCCUGGUGAAUUAAACAUGGAAUUUAGUGGUACAGAUAACAUUGCUUUAUUUUCUUAUACAGAUGUAGCUCUGAAGAGCUGGCUGUCAUUUGAACAAUGGGCUUGAAAGGAGUGAAGCAAACUGCCUCCAGCAUAGUGUGGCAGAAGCCAAUGGCAAAGCUGCUGUAGAGAGACACAGCCUGAAUGAAACGCUGAUUGAUAUGCAGUCCAUGUGUCAUAAUAUGUGGCCAAGCCUGCUGGUACCUCAGAAUUACAAACACCAAGAGGCUGAAAAUUUCAACUGGCUGAAGAAAGAACCUAGCAGGGGUGCAGCUCUGGGAAACCCAUUCAUGGAUGCUGGAUCCAUGAGAAGAGCUGAGGAAAUGCAUACACCUGCACAUGGAGAGGAAUGUGUUUUGAUGGAAGUGUAACAAAUCCAGCCAUGAUUUCCUUUGAAGCCACAGUUCAAUAAGGUUUUGUAUUUGUAUUUGUGUUUUCCCAAACUUUUCAGAACCAGGAAGGGAGGGACCUCUCCUGCUGACUGCAGAGCCUCCUGCCUGCAUCCCUGCUACUGGAAGGAUGGAUGGACAGUGAGCCAAGAGCAAGUAUUGGAGCUGAAAUCCUUUUGUAACUCUGUAAGAGGACAGUGUUUCAAAGUAAGACCUAGAAAGCAUGCUUGUUUGCGGAAGAUGUCCUCACAACCUUCAUGGUACAUACCAAGAACUUCAAAAAUUGACAGAAAAUGAAGUGAAAAGGAAAAACGAUACUUUUCUGUACCU